rnacentral:rRNA from 1 species
UACGGGGGGGGCAAGCGUUGUUCGGAAUUACUGGGCGUAAAGGGCCAGUAGGCGGCCAACUAAGUCCGACGUGAAAUCCCAAGGCUUAACCUUGGAACUGCGUCGGAUACUGGAUGGCUUGAAUUCGGGAGAGGGAUGCAGAAUUCCAGGUGUAGCGGUGAAAUGCGUAGAUAUCUGGAGGAACACCGGUGGCGAAGGCGGCAUCCUGGACCGACAUUGACGCUGAACGGCGAAAGCUAGGGGAGCAAACGGG